AACGAACGCUGGCGGCAGGCCUAACACAUGCAAGUCGAACGCCCUAGCAAUAGGGAGUGGCAGACGGGUGAGUAACACGUGGGAACCUUCCCUAUAGUACGGAAUAGCCCAGGGAAACUUGGAGUAAUACCGUAUAAGCCCGAGAGGGGAAAGAUUUAUCGCUAUAGGAUGGGCCCGCGUCGGAUUAGCUAGUUGGUGAGGUAAUGGCUCACCAAGGCGACGAUCCGUAGCUGGUUUGAGAGAACGACCAGCCACACUGGGACUGAGACACGGCCCAGACUCCUACAGGAGGCAGCAGUGGGGAAUAUUGGACAAUGGGCGAAAGCCUGAUCCAGCCAUGCCGCGUGAGUGAUGAAGGCCUUAGGGUUGUAAAGCUCUUUGUCGGGGACGAUAAUGACGGUACCCGAAGAAUAAGCACCGGCUAACUACGUG
rnacentral:rRNA from 1 species